rnacentral:rRNA from 1 species
AACGAACGCUGGCGGCAUGCCUAACACAUGCAAGUCGAACGAGACCUGCGGGUCUAGUGGCGCACGGGUGGGUAAAGCGGGGGAACCUGCCCUUAGGUUCGGAAAAACUCACCGAAAAGGGUGCUAAUAACGGAUAAUGUCUACGGACCAAAGAUUUAUCGCCCUUGGAUGGGCCCGCGUUGGAUUAGCUAGUUGGUAGGGUAAAAGCCUACAAAGGCGCCGCUACAUAGCGUGUGUGAGAGGAUGCUCAGCCACACUGGGACUGAGACACGGCCCAGACUCCUACGGGACGCAGCAGUGGAGAAUAUUGCACAGUGGGCGAGAGCCUGAGCCCGCUGUGCCGCGUAGGUGAUGAGGGCCUUAGGGUUGUACAGCUCUUUUACCCGGGAUGAUAAUGACAGUACCGGAAGAAUAAGCUCCGGCUAACUCCGUG